rnacentral:tRNA from 1 species
CGAGGCGUAGCGCAGCCUGGUAGCGCAUCUGCUUUGGGAGCAGAGGGUCGCAGGUUCAAAUCCUGCUGCCUCGA